AGAUCAUUUGGACACAACCAUGACAUCAGCGCACGCGUUUGUUAUACCAUAUAAAAGCCGCUUUCACAAUUUCCAGUUUCAUUAUUACGGUUUGCUACCAAAGGACGAAAAUUAAACAUGUACGUGAAGAUAGCGUUUGCUUUAGUGAUCUGUGUCGGCAUGAUUUUUGCUGAAAAUUGUACGAACACUGACACCACAACUUGUGGACACGUAUUAUGUUCCGACGGAUAUACACCUACUUGUGUAACGAAUGUGUGCACGUGCGACCCAGCCCCAGAUAGAUCAACAUGUGCAACCUUAAGUGACUGUGACGGUUACUGGGCCAAUGAUCACUGUAGAUUUAGGGACAGACACUGUAUAGACGGACAUUGCGAAUGUCGGCGCCUAUAGACAAGUGCGUUUUGAAAGGGAAGGAAUAUUCAACACCAUGGUCUUCUCGGAUGAAUUUUGUUCAAAUGUUCAAAAAUGUAGUGAAAUCGUACUUUUAAUGAAAUAAACUUUUAAUACAGUUA